CUGGACAAAUCUCCUUGUGCGGGUGAAAAAUAUGCAGCUGCCCAAGUCAGUUUCUUCAGUUAUCUCCAUGACUGGUGAAUGCCCCAGCUUUCCCCAUUGGACCGACAGUGUUGUUUUCCUCACACCCAAAAUACUUCCCAUUUCCUCCCACUGCUUUCAUUGGGGAAAAGGAAACGCAUUUGAGAGAAGGAUCAACAGAUCCAACAGGGUCAUCCAGGACACAGGAAACAACAGGAUCCUCCUUAAAUGGGCUCUACAACUCUGACCUUCAAACGGCUGACUUUUUCACGGUAUUGGAGGAUCUCUCAAAUUUUGCCUACUGGGAGAAGCUGUUCCAGAUCACUCGAAGGUAACUUCC